AUGGCUUCAGCUUCUAUGGUUUUCGCCGGCAAAGCUAUUGCAACGUCAGUCAUCACCAAUAUUAUCAACAAGGCCUUUGACUAUUUAAAAGACAACCAGAAAGCUGGAGGGCUCAAGACCACCAGAGAGAGGCUGCUCCCACAGAUACAGGUCUUUGAUGCCGUUCAUGCCGAGGAAAUCAGGGAUCAGAGCAACGCGUUGGAUGCAUGGCUGUGGCAGCUCCGAGAUGCCAUCGAGGAAGCUGAAGACGCUCUUGAUGAGCUUGACUACUACAGGCUCGAGGAGGAGGUGCAGGUGCCAAGGCAAGAUAACAAGCGUAAGUACAAGCGCAAGGUCAUUCAAGGUUUCAAUCGUGCAUUCAACAUGGGGUCACUAGAGAGGCUGAGAAAUUCAGUCACGACUUUGGAUGAUGUUGGGGCGGGUGUAGAGCGUUUCUUCCAGGUUCUCAACCACUUGAAUAAUGAUAAGAUGAAGGAACAUAAACGGGACAUGGAGUUUAGAAACUCGCGCCAGACAAGCUCACAGCCUCGUGGCCUUUUGCUUGGUAGGGAGGAAGAGAGGAAGAUUAUAGUCCAGUGGUUGACCAAGCCUGAAACUAGUGCCAGCGAUAUUGCUCUGUUUUCUGUAAUUGGUAUCUGUGGGAUAGGGAAGACGACACUUGCUCAAGAUAUAUGCACCGCUGGGGAUGUCAAAGAGCAAUUUUAUUUCGUCAUCUGGGUUUGUGUUUCUCACGAUUUCGACAUUGAGACACUAACAAAAAAGAUCCUUGACGACAUAACUGGAAGAGAGACAACCAUGGUUGGUCUAAAUGCGCUACACAAAGCACUCAAGGAGAGGCUGAGUUCCAAGACCUUUCUCCUUAUACUGGAUGAUGUGUGGAAUGAUGAGAGGUAUGAGGAGUGGGUGAAUUUUUUAUGUCCAUUGAAAUGUGGGAAGGAAGGAAGCAAGAUCCUGCUGACAACCCAAAUGCAGUCGCUAGCUGAUGUUGCUGCAAGAGCAGUGCAGCGGGAAAGAACACAACAGGUGGAAUGCCAGUCUUUAAGAUUUUUUGGGUUGGAAGAAACUGACCUCCUGCUUCUUUUGAACAGGCAUGCAUUUUUUGGUGUUAAUCCUGAUGAUUACAGGAACCUACAACAGAUCAGCUAGAAAAUGGUAAACAAACUAAGUGGUUCUCCAUUGGCCGCAAAAGUUCUUGGUGGAUUCUUGAACGGCAACAGGGAUAGUAGCACGUGGAACAGAAUUUUGGACUUGGGUGUUCAUAAUGUACAAUAGGGAAGUGAAGGGAUUAUGACGGUGUUGAGGCUAAGUUAUCAACAUUUACCAACACAUUUGCAGGUGUGUUUCAGGUAUUGCAUUUUAUUUAAUAAAGACGAGUUCACAAAGAAAGAAUUGGUGUACUUAUGGAUGAGUUCAGGACUGAUCCAGCCAUUGGUGGAUGACAUGAUACAACCAGAGGAUAUUGGAAUGGAGUAUUUAGACACAUUGUGCAGAAAGUCCUUUUUUGACAUAAAAUCAAAGCCUCAUGAUAGUCGCGUUAUCAAAUGUUGUUUAUAUGAUGAAUAUUAUGAAGAAAGAUUUGUUAUGCAUGAUCUCUUGCAUGAGUUGGCCCAGUCUGUGUCAGCGAGUGAAUGCACAAGAGUGGACUUACAUUUCUCUGGUUCUAUUCCGAAGACUAUCCGUCGUAUAUGCAUUGAAAUGAUAAACCCUGCUGUUGUUGAACAGAUUUCUCAUGCAAAGAGACUGCACACACUUCUUAUGCAUUUUGAAGACCAAGACGAGAAAGAUCAAGUGCACAUAAUCAGUAAAGUUUUGCGUGUGGCCAGAAGCUUACGGGUGUUAUCCAUAAUAAAAAAGUCACCGUGUAAGCUUCCUGAUUCAGUGGGUGGUUUAAUGCACCUUCGUUAUUUGUCUCUUAAGUGGGCCUGA
rnacentral:rRNA from 1 species